rnacentral:rRNA from 1 species
UAGUCCACGCCGUAAACGAUGUCGGCUAGCCGUUGGGCUCCUUGAGAGCUUUGUGGCGCAGUUAACGCGAUAAGUCGACCGCCUGGGGAGUACGGCCGCAAGGUUAAAACUCAAAUGAAUUGACGGGGGCCCGCACAAGCGGUGGAGCAUGUGGUUUAAUUCGAUGCAACGCGAAGAACCUUACCUACCCUUGACAUCGAGAGAACUUUCCAGAGAUGGAUUGGUGCCUUCGGGAACUCUCAGACAGGUGCUGCAUGGCUGUCGUCAGCUCGUGUUGUGAAAUGUUGGGUUAAGUCCCGUAACGAGCGCAACCCUUGUCCCUAUUUGCCAGCGAUUCGGUCGGGAACUCUAGGGAGACUGCCGGUGACAAACCGGAGGAAGGUGGGGACGACGUCAAGUCAUCAUGGCCCUUACGGGUAGGGCUACACACGUGCUACAAUGGCCGGUACAAUGGGCUGCGAACCCGCAAGGGGGAGCCAAUCCCAAAAAGCCGGUCUUAGUUCGGAUUGCGGGCUGAAAUUCGUCCGCA